CGAACGGAAGUUUAAGCAAUUAAACUUUAGUGGCGAACGGGUGAGUAACGCGUAAGCAAUCUGCCCCUAAGACGAGGAUAACAGUUGGAAACGACUGCUAAGACUGGAUAGGAGACAAGAAGGCAUCUUCUUGUUUUUAAAAGACCUAGCAAUAGGUAUGCUUAGGGAGGAGCUUGCGUCACAUUAGUUAGUUGGUGGGGUAAAGGCCUACCAAGACUAUGAUGUGUAGCCGGGCUGAGAGGUUGAACGGCCACAUUGGGACUGAGACACGGCCCAAACUCCUACGGGAGGCAGCAGUAGGGAAUUUUCGGCAAUGGAGGAAACUCUGACCGAGCAACGCCGCGUGAACGAUGAAGUAUUUCGGUACGUAAAGUUCUUUUAUUAGGGAAGAAUAAAUGAUGGAAAAAUCAUUCUGACGGUACCUAAUGAAUAAGCCCCGGCUAACUAUGUGCCAGCAGCCGCGGUAAUACAUAGGGGGCAAGCGUUAUCCGGAAUUAUUGGGCGUAAAGGGUGCGUAGGCGGUUAAAUAAGUUUAUGGUCUAAGUGCAAUGCUCAACAUUGUGAUGCUAUAAAAACUGUUUAGCUAGAGUAAGAUAGAGGCAAGUGGAAUUCCAUGUGUAGUGGUAAAAUGCGUAAAUAUAUGGAGGAACACCAGUAGCGAAGGCGGCUUGCUGGGUCUUUACUGACGCUGAGGCACGAAAGCGUGGGGAGCAAACAGGAUUAGAUACCCUGGUAGUCCACGCCGUAAACGAUGAGUACUAAACGUUGGGUAAAACCAGUGUUGAAGUUAACACAUUAAGUACUCCGCCUGAGUAGUACGUACGCAAGUAUGAAACUUAAAGGAAUUGACGGGACUCCGCACAAGCGGUGGAUCAUGUUGUUUAAUUCGAAGGUACCCGAAAAACCUCACCAGGUCUUGACAUGCUUCUGCAAAGCUGUAGAAACACAGUGGAGGUUAUCAGUUGCACAGGUGGUGCAUGGUUGUCGUCAGCUCGUGUCGUGAGAUGUUGGGUUAAGUCCCGCAACGAGCGCAACCCUUAUUGUUAGUUACCAGCACGUAAUGGUGGGGACUUUAGCAAGACUGCCAGUGAUAAAUUGGAGGAAGGUGGGGACGACGUCAAAUCAUCAUGCCCCUUAUGACCUGGGCUACAAACGUGAUACAAUGGCUGUUACAAAGGGUAGCUGAAGCGCAAGUUUUUGGCGAAUCUCAAAAAAACAGUCUCAGUUCGGAUUGAAGUCUGCAACUCGACUUCAUGAAGUUGGAAUCGCUAGUAAUCGCGAAUCAGCAUGUCGCGGUGAAUACGUUCUCGGGGUUUGUACACACCGCCCGUCAAACCACGAAAGUUGGUAAUACCCAAAGCCGGUGGCCUAACUUCGCAAGAAGAGGGAACCGUCUAAGGUAGGGUCGAUGAUUGGGGUUAAG
rnacentral:rRNA from 1 species